GGCAUGUGGAAGUUCCCAGGCUAGGGGUCAGAUCAAAGCCGCAGCCACCAGCCUACACCGCAACCACAGCAACACCAGCUCUGAACCACAUCUGCAAGCUAUGCCACAGCUCACGGCAACACUGGAUCCCUAACCCACUGAGCGUGGCCAGGGAUGGAACCCACAUCCUCAUGAACACUAGUCGGUUUCUUAACUUGCUAAGCCACAAUGGGAACUCUCCAUAACAGUAUUUUUAUAGUAGCCCCAAACUGGAAGUUACCCAAAUGCCCAUCAGCAGUAGACCAAAUAAAGAGCAGGUUAUUCACACAAAUAAAUAUCAUACAGCAAGGAGAAUGAGCCAACUACAAGGACAAGGUUGAAUCAUAUCAACAUAAUGUUUAGCAAAUGAAGCUGGACACCAAAGGUUACAUCCUUAAAGCUUAAAUUUACAUAAAGUUCAAAAAUGGGCAAAACGAGUUCCCAUCGUGGUGCAGGGGAAAUGAAUCAGACUAGGAACCAUGAAGUUGCGGGUUUGGUCCCUGACCUCGCUCAGUGGGUUAAGGAUCCAGCAUUGCUGUGGUGUAGGUCACAGACGCUGCUUGGAUCUGGCGUUGCUGUGGCUGUGGUGUAGUCUGGUAGCUGUAGCUUCAAUUAGACCCCUAGCCUGGGAACCUUCAUAUGUCGCAGGUGUGGCCCUAAAAACAAAAAAGAAGGGGGGUGAGUGUGUGGUGGAGGGCUUGGGGGUGAGGUGGGGCACUGAAGGUUCUGUUUUUCCAUCUGCGUGCUGCUUACAUGAGUGCGUUCAGUUUAGAAAACAUUCUGUAAACUGUACACUUAUGACUGUGCAUGUUUCUGAAUGUCUUUUAUACCUCCCUAAAAGCAUUUUUAAGCCAAAGAAGAAAAAAAAAAAAAAAAAACUAAAGGAACAAACAUGUUUCACCAGCAUUCCUAAUUCUGCUGCUUCUGCAGCUGCUGUCACUCAUGAUGGUGCAGGAAAAUAUUCUUUCUCUCUAUGACGUCUCAUUGCACAUCCUUUUCUUGGUAGAGUGUCUCUUUUUCCUUCUCCUUUAUUUACUUUUUGACUUAGACUUUAGGUCUUUAGGAAGGCCUGAUCAGAAGCAGGUUUUGAGACUCCAUUAGGCACGUGGGUUCAUGGAGGAAGCCUGGCCACCUUGCACUUUUGUUUUUGUUUCAAUUUUCCCAACUAGUAAGUAAUGGAAUCACACAGGCAGAAGGACUUCAGAAUCCCUGUAUUUAACUGCCAUGUCAUAUCACUUGCAUCUUUUACUGUACUUUUUGACACUCAUUCAUUUUAUAAGCACUUAUCGAGUGGCUUUUAAGUGCUAAGCACUGUUCUAGCACUGAGGUUAUGAGGAUGAACCACCCAAACUCGCACUUUGGGGGGGGUGUGAUUGGAUCAUAAGAGUGAGAGGCAAAGCUAAGUCCUGGAAGCCUUGCCUGGGGUGCUGCAUGAGAGCUGCGAGCAUCAGGCAGUGUCAGAUGUCCAUCUUAGACAGAUACCUGGAGCAGCAACUGUGUAGAGGUGAAGAGGGACAGAAUUAGAGCCAAGGAAGUAGGUUAGGGGCUUAUUUUCAUGGUUCAAGAAAGAACAUCUGUCCUGAAAACAAGGCUUCAUUGUUUCCACCUUCUCCACAUAUAAAUGAUAAUCUAAGGGCAGAUCCAUCUGUCAGGAAAGGAUGGCCAUGAGGAUGGAGGCACGUGUCCGGAGUCGGGUGGGAAGAGGAUGUAGCCAAGGACAAGAGAGCCAUGCAGGCGUCAGUAAUGAACCACAGCCUGGGAUUUAACCUAGCAAGGCACCCAGAUAAAACUUCAAGGAGUUUUUGUUCCCUCUGUGAUUACUAAAGCCAGCUUUGAUCAUUUCAAACUCACGUUUUGUUUUUCUGGAGAGGUUUGGUCUUUACUCUUUAAGCAAACAUUGAUUUAUUUCCUCUUUUCUGGGCAAAGAGUCCUCUGGUUGGACAGCUCUGGCUAAGACAACUCUUUCUGUGCCCCAAGUCUCAGUAGCCUGCUUGUAGGAAGGUAAUGUGUUGGUCGCCUGCAGCUGCAAAGACAGAAGAUAGAAGGGAGAGAAAAGUCUGCCACACCCACCUGCGGGUUGGGAUCCAAGAGGAACCGCAGCUGGAACUUUAUCAAUAGUCCCAGGCAGGAGCAGAGCGUCACACUCGAAAAACCAGUCGACCUUACGGUCUUUAGAAGUCUUUGUGUGGAUAACCUGUGUUCAUAAAUCCCACCAAGGUCAACACCCCGGGCUUGAAGGUGUGGCAGAAUCAAAUGGCCUUUAUCUGCAACUACAAACGUUAGGACCCCUCAGUGUGGGUGGCCAGGAAGGUGCUUUCUCCAGUGCUUGAGAUCCAAGUUCCUGUGUGAAAAGGGAAUAGGAGGGGAGGGGUGAGGCCAUCCCUUGUGCUGACUGUGGAGAGUUCGGCUGACUUCUUUGUUUCCCCCAAGCAGGAUGGUCCGGAGGCUGCGAAUCAAUCCCUGCAAGGGACUGGUGAACUUGCUAGAGAGCCCCAGGCUGGCCCUGGAAUGGGGACAGCAUCUCAAUCAAGUUUUGCUCUUUAUGUGUUUUAAAGAUGCUUCUUCCCUCAGGCUUCUGGCUUGAGAAUGCACUUGGCAGCAAAGGCCUAUUUGAUUAGCAUUAAAGGAAGGGUCCCAACACCUCCUGAACACCCUGAAGCGAGUGGAAGCAGGACUGGACACCCCUCUCCAACCACUGGGAUUCUGCAGAAGGGAGCCACAGGUAUCCUGGGAUCCCACUGCUAUCAGGCUCCAACUCCACAUACCAUUCAAAACCUUCCAGCAGCCUCUCCCUCCCUGUUGACCAGACUCUGUGUGCCGGGCACUGUAAUAGGCUUCAAGGGACAAACAUGCUUUAGAGCCUCUCUUGGUUUUGCCCUCAUAGGACUAGGGGGGCAGGCAGACAGACCCAUCAAAACUCUAUUCUGACAUGAUGGGCCAAGCAUGCUGAUUGAGGUGUUACAAAGUAUGUGGGAGUACAAAUGAAGGCUGUAUUCAUCCUACUGGAAGGAGGGCUGCUCAGAGUAGCAAAGCCUUGUGAACACUUCAUUUAUUGAAUUAAAUUAAUCUUAAAUUAAGAGGUAACAUUUGCGCUGAGUAUUGAACUCUAAGUAGGAGUUCUCCAGCUCAGAUGGGAUGGCACCCCUAGCAAGAGAAAACUUGAGCAAAAGGACACAGUCAUAGUAUAAGGCAGUGCCUCUCGUACUGGGUACCCACAUUCUCAGGCACCCAAGGGCUAUAGGUCAGGGUGCACUCAGAGCCACGGAAUAGGUAUGGUGCAUCUUCCAGGGGUGUUCCUUUUGCUUAAAUAUUUGAGUAGAUUAAGGUAUAUGAGAAGAGAUUAAAAGCAUUUUUAAAAUUAAAAUAAGUGUGAGUGUUAUGCAAUAGAAGGUAAAAUUGGCAUGAGUUUAUUGUUGUUGUUGUUUUGAUGUUUCCUUCUGGCUGAACCUGCAGCAUGUGGAAGUUCCUGGGACAGGGAUCAAACCCAUGCCACAGCAGCAACCUGAACGGCUGCUGUGACCAUGCCGGAUCCUUAGCCCACUGUAUCACAAGGGAACUCCUGGCAUGAAUUUUUAAGAUGAAGCAUUAGCUCUCAAGGAAGUAUUGUAUGGGGGGGUCCUCUCUCCUGCUGCAGAGCAGAUCUGAGGGUCUUGGUCCCUCUCAUCAGUCGUUCAGGGUACACUGGAGGGAAGGAGGAGAAACCUAGGGUGCACACAAAGGGGAGCUGGGUGUGGUGGGAGACAGUUGGGAGAGGGGAGCAGGGGCACAUCGCUGGGAGCUUCAUGGAACACACGAGUGGGUUGGGCAGUCCUUGUGGACAGCGGAGAGCCCCUGCCUGCUGGGACCCGGUGGAUACGCUGUUCACAAGGCACCGUGACCCUCACUCCACAGCCUUGUGGUCUGGGCAGCACACCUAAUGCCCAGCACCCACCGACUGCUCACUCCCCCACCCAGAGCCUCCAGUGACUCCUCGUGGCUGCUGGGUCCGUUCCGAGCUGCCUACAAAACCUUGCAGCAAUGUGAAGAAGGGGUUACAGGGCACCAGGCUGGAGGUGGAGAGGGUGAAGCGCCUGGUGAGCCGUCAGGGGCCGCACUCAGGAAGCACAGGGGGAGUAGGUGACAUUGAAGAGCCUCCUUUUUCUUGAAGUUCUUGCAACCUCCUUGCUCUCCCACAUUUGUCCACAACUCCAUCAAGCCUGAUGCCUCAUACUCCUCAUGCUUUCCUACGAAGACAGGUUUUGCUCAUUUCAUUCCCUCCUCUAGGAGUGUCCCCAACUCUUCUCCCGCUGUUGGGGGGCUGCCUUUCCCUCUGGACCUCCUCGAGGAACACUGGGGGCCCUCCAUGGAGUGUCGCCGGGAGCCCCACCCUGCGCUGAGUACUUUACAUAAUCUCUACCCUCUCUCCUCAUGAGGAGUAGUCUCUCCUUUUAUGCAGAGGAGGGAACUAAACUUCACAGCUGAGCUCUGAGAUGCGUGGACGUGUGUGUCCCGUGGGGCAGCCCUGCCUCUGGUCUGAUGUGUGCCUUGCCCCAGGCUCACAGAGGAAGUGACACCUGAUGCCUUUCGUCUAGGCCCCUCCUUCCCACUGCCUCCCCUCUACCGGUCACCAAGCCCUGUGGCUCCCACCAACCACCUGUCUCCAGCCCCACUGCCAUCUGUGGUUAGAGCCUCUGCCAGUUCCCUGCCUCCUGCCCCCAGUGCCAUUGCCCAGAAAUCCAUUCUCUGCAUUGCAGUCCGUGCGGUGAUUCUAAAACGCAGAACUCGAC
rnacentral:lncRNA from 1 species